AUUGAACGCUGGCGGCAGGCCUAACACAUGCAAGUCGAACGGUAGCACAGAGAGCUUGCUCUCGGGUGACGAGUGGCGGACGGGUGAGUAAUGUCUGGGAAACUGCCCGAUGGAGGGGGAUAACACUUGGAAACAGGUGCUAAUACCGCAUAACGUCGCAAGACCAAAGAGGGGGACCUUCGGGCCUCUUGCCAUCGGAUGUGCCCAGAUGGGAUUAGCUUGUAGGUGAGGUAACGGCUCACCUAGGCGACGAUCCCUAGCUGGUCUGAGAGGAUGACCA
rnacentral:rRNA from 1 species